UUCCCCGCAUGGGAUAAUUAUUAAAGAAUUUCGGUUGUCGAUGGGGGAUGCGUUCCAUUAGGCAGUUGGCGGGGGUAACGGCCCACCAAACCAACGAUGGAUAGGGGUUCUGAGAGGAAGGUCCCCCACAUUGGAACUGAGACACGGUCCAAACUCCUACGGGAGGCAGCAGUGAGGAAUAUUGGUCAAUGGACGAGAGUCUGAAUCAGCCAAGUAGCGUGAAGGAUGACUGCCCUAUGGGUUGUAAACUUCUUUUAUAUGGGAAUAAAGUGAGCCACGUGUGGCUUUUUGUAUGUACCGUAUGAAUAAGGAUCGGCUAACUCCGUGCCAGCAGCCGCGGUAAUACGGAGGAUCCGAGCGUUAUCCGGAUUUAUUGGGUUUAAAGGGAGCGUAGGCGGGUUGUUAAGUCAGUUGUGAAAGUUUGCGGCUCAACCGUAAAAUUGCAGUUGAUACUGGCGACCUUGAGUGCAACAGAGGUAGGCGGAAUUCGUGGUGUAGCGGUGAAAUGCUUAGAUAUCACGAAGAACUCCGAUUGCGAAGGCAGCUUACUGGAUUGUAACUGACGCUGAUGCUCGAAAGUGUGGGUAUCAAACGGGAUUAGAUCCCCUGGUAGUCCAC
rnacentral:rRNA from 1 species